rnacentral:rRNA from 1 species
UACGGAGGAUGCGAGCGUUAUCCGGAUUUAUUGGGUUUAAAGGGUGCGUAGGCGGAUUGAUAAGUCAGUGGUGAAAUCCUGCAGCUUAACUGCAGAACUGCCGUUGAUACUGAUAGUCUUGAGUUUGGUUAAGGUAGGCGGAAUGUGUAAUGUAGCGGUGAAAUGCUUAGAUAUUACACAGAACACCAAUUGCGUAGGCAGCUUACUGAGCCGACACUGACGCUGAGGCACGAAAGCGUGGGGAUCAAACAGGAUUA